UCACCACCAUUGUGUCCUUGAGUAAGGCACUUAACUCCAGGUUGCUCCGGGGGGAUUGUCCCUGUAAUAAGUGCUCUGUAUAAUACAUUGGUACUCAGAAGGUUGCUGGUUCAAUCCCCACAGUCACCACCAUUGUGUCCUUGAGUAAGACACUUAACUCCAGGUUGCUCCGGGGGGAUUGUCCCUGUAAUAAGUGCUCUGUAUAAUACAUUGGUACUCAGAAGGUUGCUGGUUCAAUCCCCACAGUCACCACCAUUGUGUCCUUGAGUAAGACACUUAACUCCAGGUUGCUCCGGGGGGAUUGUCCCUGUAAUAAGUGCACUGUAUAAUACAUUGGUAAUCAGAAGGUCACUGGUUUAAUCCCCACAGUCACCACCAUUGUGUCCUUGAGUAAGACACUUAACUCCAGGUUGCUCCGGGGGGAUUGUCCCUGUAAUAAGUGCUCUGUAUAAUACAUUGGUACUCAGAAGGUUGCUGGUUCGAUCCCCACAGUCACCACCAUUGUGUCAUUGAGCAAGACACUUAACUCC